AGCCUAGUUUACAUUGGACAGGCAUGUUACUUUUUAACCGUUAACCAAAGGUAGGGUUAGGUAAUAACUAAAUAUACUAUUUAAUAACAAAUUUAGAUCAGAUCAACAGUUAAGUUUAUCUGAAAAAUUCUAUAACUACUCUGAUAUCAUGAAACAAUCUUAAAAGAUUGUACAUAUUUUUAUUAUAAAUUAUUCAAAAGGUAAAAGAAUUAUUAAUCAGAUCAGUACCAUGUACAAUUUUCUAAAACAGAAAAAUUCUUUUUUAAAAAUAUAGUGAAGAAUUUUAACUCAAAAGCGGAGUUUACUCUGAACAUGUUACUUUUUAAACGUUAACCAAAGAGUAUGUAAUAGUUAAACAAACUAUUUAAUAACUAAUUUAGGUCAGAUCAAGAAUUCAUGUUAUUUAUAACUACUCUAAUAUCACAAAACAGUCUUAAAAGAUUUUACAUAUUUUUAUAAUUCAAUAUUCAAAAGGUAAGAGAUUUAUUAAUCAUCACAGUACCAUGUAGAAUUUUAUAAAACAGAAAAAUUUCUUCAUCAAAAUAUAGUGAAGAAUUGUAACUCAAAAGUCUAGUUUAUUCUGGACAUGUUACUUUUUAACCGUUAACAAAAGAGCAGGUAAUAGCUAAAUAUAGGUACUAUUUAAUAACUGAUUUAGGUCAGAUCCAGUGUUAAAGUUAUCUACAACCACUGUAAUAUCACAAAACAGUCUAAAAGAUUGCACAUAUUUUUAUAAUAAAAUAUUCAAAAGGUGAGAGAUUUAUUAAUCAGAUCAGUACCACG